rnacentral:rRNA from 1 species
AAGCCUCGCCUGUUUACCAAAAACACCGCCUCUUGCAAAAUCAAUGAAUAAGAGGUCCCGCCUGCCCUGUGACUCUAAGUUUAACGGCCGCGGUAUUUUGACCGUGCGAAGGUAGCGCAAUCACUUGUCUUUUAAAUGGAGACCUGUAUGAAUGGCAACACGAGGGCUUGACUGUCUCCUCUUUCAAGUCAAUGAAAUUGAUCUCCCCGUGCAGAAGCGGGGAUACAGUCAUAAGACGAGAAGACCCUAUGGAGCUUUAGACACGAAAGCAGCCCCUGUUAAACAUCCCCUCUCAAGGGACAAAACCAAAGGAAGCCUGCCCUAAUGUCUUUGGUUGGGGCGACCGCGGGGAAACACAAAACCCCCACGUGGAAUAGGACCACCUGUUCCUUAAUCAGAGAGCUCCCGCUCUAAGAAACAAAAUUUUUGACCUCCAGAUCCGGCAAAGCCGAUCAACGGACCGAGUUACCCUAGGGAUAACAGCGCAAUCCUCUUUUAGAGCCCAUAUCGACAAGGGGGUUUACGACCUCGAUGUUGGAUCAGGACAUCCUAAUGGUGCAGCCGCUAUUAAGGGUUCGUUUGUUCAACGAUUAAAGUCCUACGUGAUCUGAGUUCAG